UACGUAGGGGGCAAGCGUUGUCCGGAAUCAUUGGGCGUAAAGCGCGCGUAGGCGGCCCGGUAAGUCCGUUGUGAAAGUCAAAGGCUCAACCUUUGAAUGCCGAUGGAUACUGCCGGGCUGGAGUCCGGAAGAGGCGAGUGGAAUUCCUGGUGUAGCGGUGAAAUGCGCAGAUAUCAGGAAGAACACCCGUGGCUAAGGCGGCUCUCUAGUACGGUACUGACGCUGAGACGCGAAAGCGUGGGGAGCGAACAGG
rnacentral:rRNA from 1 species